rnacentral:rRNA from 1 species
GAUGAACGCUAGCGGCAGGCCUAAUACAUGCAAGUCAAGGGGAUAGCAAUAUCACCGGCGGACGGGUGCGUAACGCGUACACAACGUGCCCAAGGGCGGAGGAAAGCGGCGGGAAACUGCCGGUAAUACUCCAUGGUGUUGUUGAGUGGCAUCACUUAACAACUAAAGUACAAGCGCCCUUGGAUCGGUGUGCGUUCGAUUAGCUAGUUGGCGGGGUAACGGCCCACCAAGGCUUCGAUCGAUAGGGGGUGUGAGAGCAUGACCCCCCCACACGGGUACUGAGACACGGACCCGACUCCUACGGGAGGCAGCAGUAAGGAAUAUUGGACAAUGGGCGGAAGCCUGAUCCAGCCAUGCCGCGCGAAGGACGAAGGCGCUCAGCGUUGUAAACUUCUUUUGGAUGGGAACAAUAACUCCGACUUGUCGGAACUUGAGGGUACCAUCAGAAUAAGCACCGGCUUAACUCCGUGCCAGCAGCCG